AUACUUACCUGGCAGGGGAGAUAACCAUGAUCAUGAAAGUGGACCCAGGGCGAAGUUUAUCCAUUGCACUUGGUGUGCUGACCCCAGCGAGUUCCCCAAAUGUGGGAAACUCAACUGCAUAAUAUGUAGUAGUUCCGCUCUCCCCUGAGGGGAAAAA